rnacentral:rRNA from 1 species
GGGUUGUGAGGUUAAGCGACUAAGCGUACACGGUGGAUGCCCUGGCAGUCAGAGGCGAUGAAGGACGUGCUAAUCUGCGAAAAGCGUCGGUAAGGUGAUAUGAACCGUUAUAACCGGCGAUGUCCGAAUGGGGAAACCCAGUGUGAUUCGUCACACUAUCGUUAACUGAAUACAUAGGUUAACGAGGCGAACCGGGGGAACUGAAACAUCUAAGUACCCCGAGGAAAAGAAAUCAACCGAGAUUCCCCCAGUAGCGGCGAGCGAACGGGGAGCAGCCCAGAGUCUGAAUCAGCUUGUGUGUUAGUGGAACGGUCUGGAAAGUCCGACGGUACAGGGUGAUAGUCCCGUACACCAAAAUGCACAGGCUGUGAGCUCGAAGAGUAGGGCGGGACACGUGGUAUCCUGUCUGAAUAUGGGGGGACCAUCCUCCAAGGCUAAAUACUCCUGACUGACCGAUAGUGAACCAGUACCGUGAGGGAAAGGCGAAAAGAACCCCGGCGAGGGGAGUGAAAAAGAACCUGAAACCGUGUACGUACAAGCAGUGGGAGCACCUUCGGGUGUGACUGCGUACCUUUUGUAUAAUGGGUCAGCGACUUAUAUUCUGUAGCAAGGUUAACCGUAUAGGGGAGCCGCAGGGAAACCGAGUCUUAACUGGGCGUUAAGUUGCAGGGUAUAGACCCGAAACCCGGUGAUCUAGCCAUGGGCAGGUUGAAGGUUGGGUAACACUAACUGGAGGACCGAACCGACUAAUGUUGAAAAAUUAGCGGAUGACUUGUGGCUGGGGGUGAAAGGCCAAUCAAACCGGGAGAUAGCUGGUUCUCCCCGAAAGCUAUUUAGGUAGCGCCUCGUGAACUCAUCUUCGGGGGUAGAGCACUGUUUCGGCUAGGGGGUCAUCCCGACUUACCAACCCGAUGCAAACUACGAAUACCGAAGAAUGUUAUCACGGGAGACACACGGCGGGUGCUAACGUCCGUCGUGAAGAGGGAAACAACCCAGACCGCCAGCUAAGGUCCCAAAGUCAUGGUUAAGUGGGAAACGAUGUGGGAAGGCACAGACAGCCAGGAUGUUGGCUUAGAAGCAGCCAUCAUUUAAAGAAAGCGUAAUAGCUCACUGGUCGAGUCGGCCUGCGCGGAAGAUGUAACGGGGCUAAACCAUGCACCGAAGCUGCGGCAGCGACACUAUGUGUUGUUGGGUAGGGGAGCGUUCUGUAAGCCUGCGAAGGUGUGCUGUGAGGCAUGCUGGAGGUAUCAGAAGUGCGAAUGCUGACAUAAGUAACGAUAAAGCGGGUGAAAAGCCCGCUCGCCGGAAGACCAAGGGUUCCUGUCCAACGUUAAUCGGGGCAGGGUGAGUCGACCCCUAAGGCGAGGCCGAAAGGCGUAGUCGAUGGGAAACAGGUUAAUAUUCCUGUACUUGGUGUUACUGCGAAGGGGGGACGGAGAAGGCUAUGUUAGCCGGGCGACGGUUGUCCCGGUUUAAGCAUGUAGGCUGAUUGUCCAGGCAAAUCCGGAUAAUCAAGGCUGAGGUGUGAUGACGAGGCACUACGGUGCUGAAGUAACAAAUGCCCUGCUUCCAGGAAAAGCCUCUAAGCAUCAGGUAACAUUAAAUCGUACCCCAAACCGACACAGGUGGUCAGGUAGAGAAUACCAAGGCGCUUGAGAGAACUCGGGUGAAGGAACUAGGCAAAAUGGUGCCGUAACUUCGGGAGAAGGCACGCUGGUGUGUAGGUGAAGUCCCUGCGGAUGGAGCUGAGACCAGUCGAAGAUACCAGCUGGCUGCAACUGUUUAUUAAAAACACAGCACUGUGCAAACACGAAAGUGGACGUAUACGGUGUGACGCCUGCCCGGUGCCGGAAGGUUAAUUGAUGGGGUUAUCCGUAAGGAGAAGCUCUUGAUCGAAGCCCCGGUAAACGGCGGCCGUAACUAUAACGGUCCUAAGGUAGCGAAAUUCCUUGUCGGGUAAGUUCCGACCUGCACGAAUGGCGUAAUGAUGGCCAGGCUGUCUCCACCCGAGACUCAGUGAAAUUGAACUCGCUGUGAAGAUGCAGUGUACCCGCGGCAAGACGGAAAGACCCCGUGAACCUUUACUAUAGCUUGACACUGAACAUUGAGCCUUGAUGUGUAGGAUAGGUGGGAGGCUUUGAAGCGUGGACGCCAGUCUGCGUGGAGCCAACCUUGAAAUACCACCCUUUAAUGUUUGAUGUUCUAACGUUGGCCCCUGACCGGGGUUGCGGACAGUGUCUGGUGGGUAGUUUGACUGGGGCGGUCUCCUCCCAAAGCGUAACGGAGGAGCACGAAGGUUAGCUAAUCCUGGUCGGACAUCAGGAGGUUAGUGCAAUGGCAUAAGCUAGCUUGACUGCGAGCGUGACGGCGCGAGCAGGUGCGAAAGCAGGUCAUAGUGAUCCGGUGGUUCUGAAUGGAAGGGCCAUCGCUCAACGGAUAAAAGGUACUCCGGGGAUAACAGGCUGAUACCGCCCAAGAGUUCAUAUCGACGGCGGUGUUUGGCACCUCGAUGUCGGCUCAUCACAUCCUGGGGCUGAAGUAGGUCCCAAGGGUAUGGCUGUUCGCCAUUUAAAGUGGUACGCGAGCUGGGUUUAGAACGUCGUGAGACAGUUCGGUCCCUAUCUGCCGUGGGCGCUGGAGAAUUGAGGGGGGCUGCUCCUAGUACGAGAGGACCGGAGUGGACGCAUCACUGGUGUUCGGGUUGUCAUGCCAAUGGCACUGCCCGGUAGCUAAAUGCGGAAGAGAUAAGUGCUGAAAGCAUCUAAGCACGAAACUUGCCCCGAGAUGAGUUCUCCCUGAGACUUUAAGUCUCCUGAAGGAACGUUGAAGACGACGACGUUGAUAGGCCGGGUGUGUAAGCGCAGCGAUGCGUUGAGCUAACCGGUACUAAUGAACCGUGAGGCUUAACCUUACAACGCCGAAG